GCGCCUGCUGCCGUGGACUCAACAUUUGUGCUCCAGGAGAACAAGAGCUUAUCGCACUGGCUAAGAACCGCUUCACUCAGAAAGACACAGAGGACGAAGUUCGAGAGGUCAUCAGGAACAACCUACAUUUACAAGGAAAGUCAGAGGACCCAGCAAUUCGUUGGCAGAUGGCUCUGUACAGAGACCUCCCAAACCACUAUGAGGAUACUACUGACCCAGAGAAGACUGUGGAGAGAAUCCUGGAUAUUGGUCAUGUCCUCUUCCACCUGGAGCAGGUGGAGCAUCCUCAGCGCAGUAAGAAGGCUGUGUGGCACAAACUGCUUUCAAAACAGAGGAA